rnacentral:rRNA from 1 species
AUGAACGCUGGCGGCGUGCCUAACACAUGCAAGUCGAACGGAGUCCAGCCUUAGAGACCUUCGGGUCAAAGAGGGGAAGACUGAGUGGCGGACGGGUGAGUAACACGUGGGCAACCUGGCUCAUAGAGGGGGAUAACAGAGAGAAAUUUCUGCUAAUACCGCAUAAGCACACACUGCCGCAUGGCAGAGUGUGAAAAGAGAAUCGCUAUGAGAUGGACCCGCGUCUGAUUAGCCAGUUGGCAGGGUAAGAGCCUACCAAAGCGACGAUCAGUAGCCGAUUUGAGAGGAUGAACGGCCACAUUGGGACUGAGACACGGCCCAAACUCCUACGGGAGGCAGCAGUGGGGGAUAUUGCACAAUGGGGGGAACCCUGAUGCAGCGACGCCGCGUGAGUGAAGAAGUAUUUCGGUAUGUAAAGCUCUAUCAGCAGGGAAGAUAAUGACAGUACCUGAAUAAGAAGCCCCGGCUAACUACGCG